rnacentral:misc_RNA from 1 species
GAACGCACAUUGCGCCCCUUGGUAUUCCAUGGGGCAUGCCUGUUCGAGCGUCAUUUGUAUCUUCAAGCUCUGCUUGGUGUUGAGUGUUUGUCUCGCUUUGUGCGUGGACUCGCCUUAAAGCAAUUGGCAGCCGGCGUACUAGUCUGGGAGCGCAGCACAAUUUGCGCCUCUGAACCUGAACGCUUGCGUCCAUGAAGUCUAUACUUUUGCUUUUGACCUCGGAUCAGGUAGGGAUACCCGCUGAACUUAAG